GACACUUUCAGAGGCGGGGCCAGACUCACCUGAACAGGACAAAGCCCCUCCCACCUCUGAUGAGGACGAACCUGACACAGACCUGCCCAGCGGACCGUACACCUACAGACUGCAGGACUUGGCCUACACGAGGAGCGGGGACAAAGGAGACUCUGCAAACAUCGGAGUGAUCGCUCGUCACCCUCUUUACUUCCCAUACCUGAAGCAGCGCCUGACUUCUUCUGUGGUGGAGGACUACUUCUCCCACCUGAUCGAGCCGGGGCAGAACCACGCCGUCA